rnacentral:rRNA from 1 species
UUAGAUACCCUGGUAGUCCGCCUAAUGUGCCAGCCGCCGCGGUAAUACGUAGGGUGCGAGCGUUAAUCGGAAUUACUGGGCGUAAAGCGUGCGCAGGCGGCUUUGCAAGACAGAUGUGAAAUCCCCGGGCUCAACCUGGGAACUGCAUUUGUGACUGCAAGGCUAGAGUACGGCAGAGGGGGAUGGAAUUCCGCGUGUAGCAGUGAAAUGCGUAGAUAUGCGGAGGAACACCAAUGGCGAAGGCAAUCCCCUGGGCCUGUACUGACGCUCAUGCACGAAAGCGUGGGGAGCAAACAGG